UUAGGAAUAUUGUGCAAUGGGGGAAACCCUGACACAGCCAUGCCGCGUGUGUGAAGAAGGCCCUAGGGUUGUAAAGCACUUUCAGUAGGGAGGAAUUAGCAAGGCUAAUACUCUUGUGAAAUGACGUUACCUACAGAAGAAGAUCCGGCUAACUCCGUGCCAGCAGCCGCGGUAAUACGGAGGGAUCGAACGUUAAUCGGAAUUACUGGGCGUAAAGCGCGCGUAGGCGGCUUGUUAAGUGGGAUGUGAAAGCCCCGGGCUCAACCUGGGAACUGCAUUCCAAACUGACAGACUUGAGUACGAUAGAGGGGGGUAGAAUUCAGAGUGUAGCGGUGAAAUGCGUAGAUAUUCUGAGGAAUACCGGUGGCGAAGGCGGCCCCCUGGAUUGAUACUGACGCUGAGGUGCGAAAGCGUGGGGAGCAAACAGG
rnacentral:rRNA from 1 species